rfam:Paxillus rubicundulus Ve08.2h10 scaffold_235_c1, whole genome shotgun sequence.
UUACCACUCUGGCCUUUUGGCUUAGAUCAAGUGUAGUAUCUGUUCUUAAUAGUUUAACCACUAUUAUGAGGGCACCGCCCUCAUUCUUUGGUUAUCAAAUUUUUGCCGCCCUUGUUCCCUGCGAGCUCUGCUUGCAACUCCAGGG